AGAGUUCGACCUGCUCACAUCCGGGAGGUUUUUUUGAAUAGCAGGUGGUUUGUUGUUAAAAAAUCACUAGAACCACUGGCUUCCGGUCACAAAACCAGCUGCAGAACAACCAGAUACGAUUUGGAUCAAAAUGAACACGGGUGGUUUAUCAACGUCAAAACAACCGUUUGCUUCGAGUUCCUCAGUUUUUGGAACGAAUGUGCCGAAUAUUCUCUCAAAGCCUACACAAGCUGGAAGGCAUAUUCAGAAGCAAUGGGCUCUCUUAUAGCAGAUGUGUACAACAAGGGCCCAAAAGGCCAACACACAAACUAUCAUUUUCUGCACUUAGAUGAACACUUUGCAGUGGUAUACUUCUGCACUAUGUUAGAUGGGUCAAUGAUGCAAACUGCUUUAGUUCUAUCCAGGUCACAAAAUCCAGAUUUGGCUGACAUAAAGAAAAUGGAGAAAAUUUUGACAUACAAUGGACUGGACAUAGAAAUGAUUGAUGUCGUUAACUCGAAAUGUCCUUCAGCAAAAGAUGACCACGAAGAUUAUGAAAACGAAGAUGAAUUUAGUUCUGAAGACGAAUACUAAUAAAAAAUUAGCCCUACAACUAAACUUCAGGAUUUUUUGGACUCGCUUUUUGAAAUCUAAUGAAUUUAUGAAUCAAAAUCAUUAUGAAAGUUUCAAAAAAUAUAUGCUUAUUGGAUGUUUAUCAUCACUUAUUGAUCAAAGAGCUGCUGACUGCACGAUCGUUUGAAACGGUAGCAAAUCUACAGUGCUGAUUUAAAUUAU